rnacentral:rRNA from 1 species
ACAGCAGUCGCCACGGUAAUACGAAGGUCCCGAGCGUUGUUCGGAAUCACUGGGCGUAAAGGGAGCGUAGGCGGCGUGGUAAGCCAGAUGUGAAAUCCCGGGGCUCAACCCCGGAACUGCACCCGAUACUGCCAUGCUAGAGGAUUGGAGAGGUAGCUGGAAUUCUUGGUGUAGCAGUGAAAUGCGUGGAGAUCAAGAGGAACACUCGUGGCGAAAGCGAGCUACUGGACAAUAACUGACGCUGAGGCUCGAAGGCCAGGGUAGCGAAAGGGAUUAGAUACCCCCGUAGUCCCUGUCUCUUAUAA